rnacentral:lncRNA from 1 species
GUUUGUUCCAGCCCUGCACUAACACACCUGAUUCAGCUAAUCAGAGUCUUCUUGAAGUUAUCUGAAUCAGGUUUGUUAGUGGUGGGCUGGAACUAAACCAUGCACCAUGUAGCUCUCCAGGACCAGGCUGGGUGACUGUUCUGAGGUUUCAGUAGUAUUAUCUAACCAGGCUGGGUGACUGUUCUGAGGUUUCAGUAGUAUUAUCUAACCAGGCUGGGUGACUGUUCUGAGGUUUCAGUAGUAGUAUUAUCCAACCAGGCUGGGUGACUGUUCUGAGGUUCCAGUAGUAUUAUCCAACCAGGCUGGGUGACUGUUCUGAGGUUUCAGUAGUAUUAUCCAACCAGGCUGGGUGACUGUUCUGAGGUUUCAGUGGUAGUAUUAUCCAACCAGGCUGGGUGACUGUUCUGAGGUUUCAGUAGUAGUAUUAUCCAACCAGGCUGGGUGACUGUUCUGAGGUUUCAGUGGUAGUAUUAUCCAACCAGGCUGGGUGACUGUUCUGAGGUUUCAGUAGUAGUAUUAUCCAACCAGGCUGGGUGACUGUUCUGAGGUUUCAGUAGUAGUAUUGGAUGAAGACCACUAGGGGGCAGAGUUGUUCCAGAUCAGUAACCCAACCCCAAGCUCCUGUCAUAUCAUGUUGUAAGAUGUUCUCAUCCUCAACAGCCUCCCUCCUCUCUCCUCUCUCUCGUCACAACCCCUAGCUGAUAUAGAGCUAGACGUCAUCAACUAGAUCAUCCACCGUGUAUAUAGAGCUAGACGUUCCCCAACUAGAUCAUCCACCUAGCUAUAGAGCUAGACGUUCCUCAACUAGAUCAUCCACCUGGAUAUAGAGCUAGACGUUCA